AUUGAACGCUGGCGGCAUGCCUUACACAUGCAAGUCGAACGGCAGCACGGGAGCAAUCCUGGUGGCGAGUGGCGAACGGGUGAGUAAUAUAUCGGAACGUGCCCAGUCGUGGGGGAUAACGCAGCGAAAGCUGUGCUAAUACCGCAUACGAUCUAAGGAUGAAAGCGGGGGAUCGCAAGACCUCGCGCGAUUGGAGCGGCCGAUAUCAGAUUAGCUAGUUGGUGGGGUAAAGGCCCACCAAGGCGACGAUCUGUAGCUGGGUUGAGAGGACGACCAGCCACACGGGAACGGAGACACGGUGCAGACUCCUACGGAAGGCAGCAGGGGGGAAUUUUGGACAAUGGGCGCAAGCCUGAUCCAGCAAUGCCGCGUGCAGGAUGAAGGCCUUCGGGUUGUAAACUGCUGUUGUACGGAACGAAACGGCCCUUUCUAAUACAGGGGGCUAAUGACGGUACCGUAAGAAUAAGCACCGGCUAACUACGUGCCAGCAGCCGCAGUAA
rnacentral:rRNA from 1 species